UACGAAGGGGGCUAGCGUUGCUCGGAAUCACUGGGCGUAAAGGGUGCGUAGGCGGGUCUUUAAGUCAGGGGUGAAAUCCUGGAGCUCAACUCCAGAACUGCCUUUGAUACUGAAGAUCUUGAGUUCGGGAGAGGUGAGUGGAACUGCGAGUGUAGAGGUGAAAUUCGUAGAUAUUGGGAAGAACACCGGUGGCGAAGGCGGCCAUCUGGACCGAGACGUGACGCUGAGGCGCGAAAGCGUGGGGAGCAAACAGGGAUUAGAAACCCUGAGACGUACCA
rnacentral:rRNA from 1 species